rnacentral:rRNA from 1 species
GGGGACAACAGUUGGAAACGACUGCUAAUACCGCAUAAAAUAACGGAAUCGCAUGAUUCUGUUAUCAAAGGAGAAAUCCGCUGAAAGAUGGGCUCGCGUCUGAUUAGAUAGUUGGUGAGGUAACGGCCCACCAAGUCGACGAUCAGUAGCCGGACUGAGAGGUUGAACGGCCACAUUGGGACUGAGACACGGCCCAGACCCCUACGGGAGGCAGCAGUGGGGGAUAUUGGACAAUGGGGGAAACCCUGAUCCAGCGAUGCCGCGUGAGGGAAGAAGGUUUUCGGAUUGUAAACCUCUGUGGACAGGGACGAUAAUGACGGUACCUGUCAAGAAAGCCACGGCUAACUACGUGCCAGCAGCCGCGGUAAUACGUAGGUGGCGAGCGUUGUCCGGAAUUACUGGGUGUAAAGGGAGUGUAGGCGGGAAGGCAAGUCAGAAGUGAAAAUUAUGGGCUCAACCCAUAACCUGCUUUUGAAACUGUUUUUCUUGAGUGAAGCAGAGGCAAGCGGAAUUCCUAGUGUAGCGGUGAAAUGCGUAGAUAUUAGGAGGAACACCAGUGGCGAAGGCGGCUUGCUGGGCUUUUACUGACGCUGAGGCUCGAAAGCGUGGGGAGCAAACAGGAUUAGAUACCCUGGUAGUCCACGCCGUAAACGAUGAUUACUAGGUGUGGGGGGAUGAACCCUUCCGUGCCGGAG